AUUCUUGUGCUCGGGCAAGCACCUAUAGCAGUGAGGUUUAUAACCGAGCUUAGGUCAUUUGCUAGUUGCAAACUUUACAUCCACAACCUAAUUUGACUUCGCGUCGAAUUGAAUCUUUCCCAUUCCACCGAAAGGA
rfam:Microbotryum lychnidis-dioicae p1A1 Lamole unplaced genomic scaffold supercont1.35, whole genome shotgun sequence.